rnacentral:rRNA from 1 species
GGUGGGGUAACGGCCUACCAAGUCUACGAUCUAUAGCUGGUUUUAGAGGAUGAUCAGCAACACUGGGACUGAGACACGGCCCAGACUCCCUACGGGAGGCAGCAGUGGGGAAUCUUAGACAAUGGGCGAAAGCCUGAUCUAGCCAUGCCGCGUGAGUGAUGAAGGCCUUAGGGUCGUAAAGCUCUUUCGCCAGGGAUGAUAAUGACAGUACCUGGUAAAGAAACCCCGGCUAACUCCGUGCCAGCAGCCGCGGUAAUACGGUGGGGGUUAGCGUUGUUCGGAAUUACUGGGCGUAAAGCGUACGUAGGCGGAUUGGAAAGUAUGGGGUGAAAUCCCAGGGCUCAACCCUGGAACUGCCCUGUAAACUAUCAGUCUAGAGUUCGAGAGAGGUGAGUGGAAUUCCAAGUGUAGAGGUGAAAUUCGUAGAUAUUUGGAGGAACACCAGUGGCGAAGGCGGCUCACUGGCUCGAUACUGACGCUGAGGUACGAAAGUGUGGGGAGCAAACAGGAUUAGAUACCCUGGUAGUCCACACCGUAAACGAUGAAUGCCAGACGUCGGGGGGCUUGCCCUUCGGUGUCACACCUAACGGAUUAAGCAUUCCGCCUGGGGAGUACGGUCGCAAGAUUAAAACUCAAAGGAAUUGACGGGGGCCCGCACAAGCGGUGGAGCAUGUGGUUUAAUUCGAAGC